UUACGGCCAUAUCACGUUGAAACACCGUUUCUCGUCCGGUCACUGAAGUUAAGCAACGUCGAGCCUGUUCAGUGUCUAGACCGCUUGGGAAUACCAGGUGCUGUAAG